rnacentral:rRNA from 1 species
UACGGGGGGGGCAAGCGUUGUUCGGAAUUACUGGGCGUAAAGGGCUCGUAGGCGGCCAACUAAGUCAGACGUGAAAUCCCCAGGCUCAACCUGGGAACUGCGUCUGAUACUGGAUGGCUUGAGGUUGGGAGAGGGAUGCGGAAUUCCAGGUGUAGCGGUGAAAUGCGUAGAUAUCUGGAGGAACACCGGUGGCGAAGGCGGCAUCCUGGACCAACACUGACGCUGAGUGAGCGAAAGCCAGGGGAGCAAACGGG